rnacentral:rRNA from 1 species
GACGAACGCUGGCGGCGUGCUUAACACAUGCAAGUCGAACGGAAAGGCCUCGGCUGGCUGGGGUGCUCGAGUGGCGAUCGAGUGUGUAACACGUGGGUGAUCUGCCUUGCACUUUGGGAUAAGCUUGGGAAAGUGGGACUAAUACCAGAUAUGAACUGCACUUAGUGAGGUGGUUGGAAAGUUUUUUCGUGGCAAGAUGAGAUCGCGGCCUAUCAGCUUGUUUGUGGGGUAAUGGCUUAGCAAGGCGUCUACGGGUAGCCGGCCUGAGAGGGUGUACGGCAACAUUGGGACUGAGAUACGGCCCAGCCUCCUACGGGAGGCAGCAGUGGAGAAUAGUGCACAAUGGGCGGAGGCCUGAUGCAGCGACGCCGCGUGGGGGAUGACGGCCUUCGGGUUGUAAUCUCAUUUCGACAUGGACGAAGCUUUUUGUGACGGUACCUGAAGAAGAAGCACCGGCUAACUACGUG